GUCCCAGGCCUCCCACCUGCAACUGUCUCCUCCUCCUGCUGCCGCCGACAACGCUGAGGCUCAUGGGAACAAACAGGCUAACCGAAAACUGCAGCUCAGCCCAGAGAAAGGUGGGCAGUCCAGUAAGAGGGAUCGUAAGAGCAAAGACACCUCCCAUAACAGUAUGGACAUUUCCUCUCCAAAGACUCGAGGGAGAAAGAGGGUCUUCUCCCAGGCCAACAAGGAUGAAGAGUUUGAGAUCAGUUGUAGCCAGGACACGGAGCACAGUCGGACACAGCCCACCAGAAGCAGCAAACGUCGUAAGGCCAGCGUCACGGAGCGCGCCAUCAUGGUGUGAUGCCCCCUGGCACAACAGUCCAGAACUGCAGCCACAUGCUUCACUCAAUAUCUCUGUAUUGAGGCUUUUUUUCAUCUUUGAAGUUCUGCAUCUUAACAGAAUCUUUGACCAUCCUUGAAAGCGGUAGAUGCACCUUAAGCUUCAUACUCUUAACUAAGACUUGACUUGGUUUGUUGCUGUUUUGUAGGAGUUGCACUGUAAUAGAACUGUCAUUCUGGGUUAACCAAUAGGCAAAGAAGAAGUGUAUAUGACACAGUAAAAAGAUGAUGUACAGUUUCUCUAAU